rnacentral:rRNA from 1 species
ACUGCUCAGUAACACGUAGCUAACCUACCCUUAAGUCAGGGAUACCCUCGGGAAACUGAGGUUAAUACCUGAUAAAAGACAUACCCUGGAAUGAUUUGUCUUUCAAAUUCGAGCUUAAGGAUGGGGCUGCGGCGGAUUAGGUUGUUGGCGGGGUAAUAGCCCACCAAGCCAAAGAUCCGUAAGGGCUCUUAGCGGAGAGGCCCUGAGAGGGAAUCUGAGACACUAUUCCCAGCCCUACGGGGUGCAGCAGUUAGGAAUAAUCUACAAUGCGCGCAAGCGUGAUAGUUUGAGCCAGAGUGCUUUACAAUUGUAAAGCUUUUGUGAAAUGUAAAAAGUUUCACGAAUAAGGACUGGGUAAGACGAGUGCCAGCCGCCGUGGUAAUACUCGCGGUCCAAGUCGCAGCCAUUUUUAUUGGGUCUAAAACAUCCGUAGCUUGCUUGAUAAGUUUCUUGUGAAAUUCCAUAUCUUAAGUAUGGAGCGGGCAAGAAGUACUGUUAAGCUAGAGACUGGAAGACGUAAAGAGUACGUUCGGAGUAGCGGUAAAAUGUGUUAAUCCUGGACGGACUAACGAGAGCGAAGGCACUUUACGAGGACAGUUCUGACAGUAAGGGAUGAAGGCUAGGGGCGCAAAACGGAUUAGAUACCCGUGUAGUCCUAGCAGUAAACACUGCACACUAAACAUUAGUACCUCCUCGAGAGGUAUUGGUGCUGAAGGGAAGCCGAAGAGUGUGCUACCUGGGAAGUAUAGUCGCAAGGCCGAAACUUAAAGGAAUUGGCGGGGGAGCAC